rnacentral:rRNA from 1 species
AGAGUUUGAUCAUGGCUCAGGACGAACGCCGGCGGCGUGCCUAACACAUGCAAGUCGAACGAGAAUCUAUUAAUUGAUUCCUUCGGGAUGAAGUUGAUAGAGGAAAGUGGCGGACGGGCGAGUAACGCGUGAGUAACCUGCCCAUAAGAGGGGGAUAAUCCAUGGAAACGUGGACUAAUACCGCAUAUUGAAUGUUUGCCGCAUGGCAGAUAUUUGAAAGAUUUAUCGCUUAUGGAUGGACUCGCGUCAGAUUAGCUAGUUGGCGAGGUAACGGCUCACCAAGGCGACGAUCUGUAGCCGAACUGAGAGGUUGAUCGGCCGCAUUGGGACUGAGACACGGCCCAGACUCCUACGGGAGGCAGCAGUGGGGAAUAUUGCGCAAUGGGGGCAACCCUGACGCAGCAACGCCGCGUGCAGGAAGAAGGUCUUCGGAUUGUAAACUGUUGUCGCAAGGGAAGAAGACAGUGACGGUACCUUGUGAGAAAGUCACGGCUAACUACGUGCCAGCAGCCGCGGUAAUACGUAGGUGACAAGCGUUGUCCGGAUUUACUGGGUGUAAAGGGCGCGUAGGCGGGAUAGCAAGUCAGUCGUGAAAUACCGAGGCUCAACCUCGGGGCUGCGAUUGAAACUGUUAUUCUUGAGUAUCGGAGAGGAAAGCGGAAUUCCUAGUGUAGCGGUGAAAUGCGUAGAUAUUAGGAGGAACACCAGUGGCGAAGGCGGCUUUCUGGACGACAACUGACGCUGAGGCGCGAAAGUGUGGGGAGCAAACAGGAUUAGAUACCCUGGUAGUCCACACUGUAAACGAUGGAUACUAGGUGUAGGAGGUAUCGACCCCUUCUGUGCCGCAGUUAACACAAUAAGUAUCCCACCUGGGGAGUACGACCGCAAGGUUGAAACUCAAAGGAAUUGACGGGGGCCCGCACAAGCAGUGGAGUAUGUGGUUUAAUUCGAAGCAACGCGAAGAACCUUACCUGGUCUUGACAUCCCGACGACCGCUCUAGAGAUAGAGCUUCUCUUCGGAGCGUCGGUGACAGGUGGUGCAUGGUUGUCGUCAGCUCGUGUCGUGAGAUGUUGGGUUAAGUCCCGCAACGAGCGCAACCCCUAUUGUCAGUUGCCAUCAUUAAGUUGGGCACUCUGGCGAGACUGCCGGUGACAAAUCGGAGGAAGGUGGGGACGACGUCAAAUCAUCAUGCCCCUUAUGACCAGGGCUACACACGUACUA